rnacentral:rRNA from 1 species
UACGAAGGGGGCUAGCGUUGCUCGGAAUUACUGGGCGUAAAGGGCGCGUAGGCGGCACUGUUAGUCAGGCGUGAAAGUCCUGGGCUCAACCUGGGAACUGCGCUUGAUACGGCAGAGCUAGAGGAUGGAAGAGGGUCGCGGAAUUCCCAGUGUAGAGGUGAAAUUCGUAGAUAUUGGGAGGAACACCAGUGGCGAAGGCGACUACCUGGCCUGUUCUUGACGCUGAGGCGCGAAAGCUAGGGGAGCAAACGGG